GGUAGUUCCUGUUGGAAAAGUGAAGUCACCUGAAAUUGGGGGAAGGAAUUUAAGUGCAUCUGAUGACAGUUCAGUUAAAAAGUUAGAGCUCGUAACUUCUACUUCUGCAGAAGCCUUAGCUGCUCCAAAAGAUUCCACUCUAAUUCAGAAAAUAGAAGGUUUAAAUGCAAAAGCUAGGGCUUCUGAUGGACGGCAAGAUGCUAAAUCUGUCUUUGGUAGGGAAGAGCAGAAGAAUAAAUUGCAAGUUGGUAGCCAUUCUACAAAUGAAACUGAUAUUGUCUCUUU
rnacentral:lncRNA from 1 species